UACGGAGGGUGCGAGCGUUAAUCGGAAUUACUGGGCGUAAAGCGCGCGUAGGCGGUUCGGUCAGUCUGAUGUGAAAGCCCCGGGCUUAACCUGGGAAUGGCAUUGGAUACUGCCGGACUGGAGUGUGGGAGAGGGGUGUGGAAUUUCCGGUGUAGCAGUGAAAUGCGUAGAGAUCGGAAGGAACACCAGUGGCGAAGGCGGCACCCUGGACCAACACUGACGCUGAGGUGCGAAAGCGUGGGGAGCAAACAGG
rnacentral:rRNA from 1 species